GUUCGUAGGUGGUUGAAAUAGUUGGUGGUGAAAUCCCAGAGCUUAACUCUGGAACUGCCAUCAAAACUUUUCAGCUAGAGUAUGAUAGAGGAAAGCAGAAUUUCUAGUGUAGAGGUGAAAUUCGUAGAUAUUAGAAAGAAUACCAAUUGCGAAGGCAGCUUUCUGGAUCAUUACUGACACUGAGGACGAAAGCAUGGGUAGCGAAGAGGAUUAGAUACCCUCGUAGUCCAUGCCGUAAACGAUGUGUGCUAGACGUUGGAAAUAUAUUUUUCAGUGUCGCAGCGAAAGCAUUAAGCACACCGCCUGGGGAGUACGACCGCAAGGUUAAAACUCAAAUGAAUUGACGGGGACCCGCACAAGCAGUGGAGCAUGUGGUUUAAUUCGAAGAUACGCGCAGAACCUUACCAACACUUGACAUGUUCGUCGCGAGACUAAGAGAUUAGUCUUUUCAGUUCGGCUGGACGAAACACAGGUGCUGCAUGGCU
rnacentral:rRNA from 1 species